AGUAGCUAGAGACACCCUGCAACUAGAGGCCGACGCCUCUGCUUCCUGUCACACCCAGUCGAGUGCAGAGGCCGAAGCAUCCCUCACACACGACCUGCAGGGCUUUUCCUGCACCGCGGGGCCGCGCAGCCUCCACGCUGCAGAUUCUUAAAAGCGCCGAACCGUGAUGCUGGGCGGCGAGCACAACGGAACCUUAAAAUCCGGAGUGCUGAAGACGGGAGAACCAGUUUCUCCGAUGCGCAAUGACGUCGCAACUGGGCGUGAUGGGCGGGGCCUAGAGAGACCAGCGUCGGGUUAAGCCAAUCAGCGGGCGGCAGGAGGGUCGCCACCCAAUGGAGGUGCUCUGCGGGCACGCCGGGGGCGGGCCGGGUGCGUAAGACUUUUCGAGAAGACCCCGCAGAGAGCACGUUGUUCUCGGCCUCUCCGGAGCUAGGCCAGCCAUGGCGGCGGUGAAGACCCUAAAUCCGAAGGCCGAGGUGGCCCGGGCCCAGGCAGCGCUGGCGGUGAACAUCAGCGCGGCUCGGGGCCUGCAGGAUGUUCUGAGGACCAACUUGGGGCCUAAGGGCACCAUGAAGAUCAAAUUCAACACCCAACAGCCUCUUUGAUAGCAAAAGUGGCUACAGCCCAGGAUGACAUAACUGGCGAUGGCACUACAUCCAAUGUCCUCAUCAUCGGGGAGCUGCUCAAACAGGCGGACCUGUACAUUUCUGAAGGUCUUCACCCAAGAAUAAUAACUGAAGGUUUUGAAGCAGCAAAAGAAAAGGCACUCCAAUUUCUGGAACAAGUCAAAGUAAGCAAAGAGAUGGACAGAGAAACACUCAUCGAUGUGGCCAGGACAUCUCUGCGGACUAAAGUUCAUGCUGAACUUGCAGAUGUCUUGACAGAGGCUGUAGUGGACUCCGUUUUGGCCAUUAGGAAAAAAGACGAGCCCAUUGACCUCUUCAUGGUUGAGAUCAUGGAGAUGAAGCAUAAAUCUGAAACCGAUACAAGCUUAAUCAGAGGGCUUGUUUUGGAUCAUGGGGCUCGGCAUCCUGAUAUGAAGAAGAGAGUGGAAAAUGCCUACAUCCUCACGUGCAACGUGUCCUUAGAGUAUGAGAAAACAGAAGUGAAUUCUGGCUUUUUUUACAAGAGUGCAGAAGAGAGAGAAAAACUAGUAAAGGCUGAAAGAAAAUUCAUUGAAGAUAGAGUUAAAAAAAUCAUAGAGCUGAAAAAGAAAGUCUGUGGUGACUCAGAUAAAGGAUUUGUCGUUAUUAAUCAAAAGGGGAUUGACCCCUUUUCUUUAGAUGCCCUUGCGAAAGAAGGGAUCGUAGCUCUGCGCAGAGCCAAGAGGAGAAACAUGGAGAGGCUGACACUUGCUUGUGGUGGGAUAGCUCUGAAUUCCUUUGAUGACCUGAAUCCUGACUGUUUGGGACAUGCAGGGCUUGUAUAUGAGUAUACACUGGGUGAGGAGAAGUUCACCUUUAUUGAGAAGUGUAACAAUCCCCGUUCUGUCACUUUACUGGUUAAAGGACCAAAUAAGCACACACUGACUCAAAUCAAGGAUGCGAUAAGAGAUGGCUUGAGGGCUGUCAAAAAUGCUAUUGAUGAUGGUUCUUGCGCAAAACUCUGGUUUUGACCUUCAGGAAACAUUAGUUAAAGUUCAAGCUGAACAUUCAGAAUCCGGUCAGCUCGUAGGUGUGGAUCUGAGCACAGGUGAGCCAAUGGUGGCCGCAGAGAUGGGUGUGUGGGAUAACUACUGUGUGAAGAAGCAGCUGCUACACUCCUGUACUGUGAUCGCCACCAACAUUCUCCUGGUCGACGAGAUCAUGCGAGCUGGGAUGUCCUCUCUGAAGGGUUGAAGCCUGCCUGUGAUACUACAGGAUGUUGGGGGGGAAUGGUUAUUUUUGUCCAAGCUUCAAGUGAUUUGGAAAAUAAUUUUCUCUUCCCUGAUUGGAGAAAAGGAACAGGACAUUUGGCACCUGCCAACUCAGGCUACAGGAGACCCCAGGUCAAAAGAAUAAUUUGUUGUGGAUGUAUUUGAAAUUAUCCAGCCAACUCCAUGUUAAACAUGUAAGAUCCUUGCCAGUGUAAAACACAUCUGGGUAAUUUAUGGGUUUCAUAGUGUCUAAUAAAUACUUAAAAGAGUGAAGCUACUGGAUCAUU
ensembl:processed_transcript